UACGGAGGGUGCAAACGUUGCUCGGAAUCAUUGGGCGUAAAGCGCACGUAGGCGGUCCGCUAAGUCGGGAGUGAAAGCCCUCGGCUCAACCGAGGAAGUGCUUUCGAAACUGACGGACUUGAAUACUGGAGAGGAUCGCGGAAUUCCCGGUGUAGAGGUGAAAUUCGUAGAUAUCGGGAGGAACACCAGUGGCGAAGGCGGCGAUCUGGACAGAUAUUGACGCUGAGGUGCGAAAGCGUGGGGAGCAAACAGG
rnacentral:rRNA from 1 species